rnacentral:rRNA from 1 species
GACGAACGCUGGCGGCGUGCUUAACACAUGCAAGUCGAACGAUGAAGAAAAGAAUUGAAGCUUCGGCAGAAAUUCAUUUCGGAUUAGUGGCAGACGGGUGAGUAACGCGUGAGCAACCUACCUCUUACAAAGGGAUAGCCUCGGGAAACCGGGAUUAAUACCAUAUAACAUUGCGACGAAGCAUUUCGAUGCAAUCAAAGCUACGGCGGUAAGAGAUGGGCUCGCGUCCCAUUAACCAGAUGGUGAGGUAACGGCUCACCAUAGUAACGAUGGGUAACCGGCCUGAGAGGGUGAACGGCCACACUGGAACUGAGACACGGUCCAGACUCCUACGGGAGGCAGCAGUGGGGAAUAUUGCACAAUGGAGGGAACUCUGAUGCAGCGACGCCGCGUGAGUGAUGAAGGAAUUCGUUUCGUAAAACUCUGUUCUAUGGGAAGAAAAGGACUGUACCAUAGGAGAAAGCUCCGGCUAAAUACGUG